AAAACAUUAGCAUGGCCCCUACGCAAGGAUGACAUGCAAAUUUGUGAAGCAUUCCAUAUUUUU
rnacentral:snRNA from 1 species